UUGAUAGAGGCGCGGUUGCGAUGAGUAGCGAAUCGGAGGCGGCAGCCCGAGAGGAUUCGCGAAAGGCAAAACCGCCGAAACGGUCGAAUCGGCGGAUUCGACGAGUUGGGCGCAGGCGAAAGACGUCUGCGACUCCCGUCGGCAAGGGCUGGAGCG
rnacentral:ncRNA from 1 species